rnacentral:rRNA from 1 species
CAAUAGCGUAUAUUAAAGUUGCUGCAGUUAAAAAGCUCGUAGUUGCAUUUCCGAGGCAAGGGAUUAGUCCGACCUUUGGUGGGUAUUUAAUCCUCUUGCCUCGUCCUUGAGUGGUGCUUCUUGGUAUUAAGUUAUCGAGGAGAUAGCCGCUCAUCGUUUACUGUGAGAAAAUUAGAGUGUUCAAAGCAGGCUUAUGCCGUUGAAUAUAUUAGCAUGGAAUAAUAAGAUAGGACCUCGGUACUAUUUUGUUGGUUUGAGAACCAAGGUAAUGAUGAAUAGGGACAGUUGGGGUAUUCGUAUUCAGUUGUCAGAGGUGAAAUUCUUAGAUUUACGGAAGACGAACUACUGCGAAAGCAUUUACCAAGGAUGUUUUCAUUAA